GCUCCUCACUUCCGUAGCUUGACGCUCCAACCAACGACCACCGCGUCACACUAAGUCCACGAGGAAGAGAAGAGCAAUCCCCGGCCGACCAAAGCGAACAGAAGAGAACCGCAGGAAAUAUUUAAGAACAGGACGAACGCAAAACACUACCCAGAAAUAUUGGCGCGAGAGGAGGAGAAAGAAUACAAGGAUUAGCAAUGAAACCAAGAAGUGAAAAGAAGGGAAAGACAAAGGCGGAGGUUCUGGCCGGGAGCAUAGAUUAUCGGCCGCUCUGACGGAGGUUGAUGCCGAGUUGAAAUGUAUCAAAAGAACAAACAGUCAUCAUGCUAGCGCUGCCGUUUAAUGAACCACAGUCCUUCGACUUCGAGAAUCUUGCGGCAAGAGUGAGUGGUUUGUAUAAAAAGCUUUGUUUUAUUACUAGCUUAUACAAUUUGCCUAAUGACUUCUACUUCUCUAGCCUUACAUCUAUAAACUUUCAUCCCUUCGUUACUCUCAGCUCUUUCAUUUAUUAAAAAAAAAUCUUCUUAAAAUGCAGUCAUAACCUUACUAAUAUCAGUUUCAACUCCAUCUUGCUCAACAGUAACCAUUUCGUCCCUCGUCAGCCAAGUCGUUUCCCGUAUUCCUACACUAAAUUUUCUGCUGUUACAUAUGUGACUGGUUUUGGUCUAUAA